rnacentral:rRNA from 1 species
UACGUAGGGGGCAAGCGUUGUCCGGAAUUAUUGGGCGUAAAGAGCGUGUAGGCGGUCCGGUAAGUCGGCUGUGAAAGUCCAGGGCUCAACCCUGGGAUGCCGGUCGAUACUGCCGGACUAGAGUUCGGAAGAGGCGAGUGGAAUUCCCGGUGUAGCGGUGAAAUGCGCAGAUAUCAGGAAGAACACCAAUGGCGAAAGCAGCUUUCUGGGACGGUACUGACGCUGAGACGCGAAAGCGUGGGGAGCGAACAGG